rnacentral:rRNA from 1 species
GAUGAACGCUAGCGAUAGGCUUAACACAUGCAAGUCGAGGGGCAGCACAAGGUAGCCUGCUAUCUGGGUGGCGACCGGCGCACGGGUGCGUAACGCGUAUGCAACUUGCCCUAUACAGGAGGAUAACCCGUCGAAAGACGGACUAAUACUGCGUAUGCUCACAACUUGGCAUCAAGUGGUGAGGAAAGAAAUUCGGUAUAGGAUAGGCAUGCGUCCCAUUAGCUUGUUGGUGAGGUAACGGCUCACCAAGGCAACGAUGGGUAGGGGAACUGAGAGGUUUAUCCCCCACACUGGUACUGAGACACGGACCAGACUCCUACGGGAGGCAGCAGUGAGGAAUAUUGGCCAAUGGGCGCGAGCCUGAACCAGCCAAGUCGCGUGAAGGAUGACUGUCUUAUGGAUUGUAAACUUCUUUUAUACGGGAAUAACAAGAGUCACGUGUGACUCCCUGCAUGUACCGUAUGAAUAAGCAUCGGCUAACUCCGUG